rnacentral:tRNA from 1 species
GGAGGAGUAUCGAAGUGGUCAUAACGAGGCUGACUCGAAAUCAGUUGUACGGCAACGUACCGUGGGUUCGAAUCCCACCUCCUCCGCCA